rnacentral:lncRNA from 1 species
GGGGGGGGGGGGAGAAAGGAGAGAGAAGAGGAAAUAGCUUAGCCCAAGUCAGCUGGUGGAGUAUUCUGCUCAAUGUGAAGGGGGGCGGCUUUCCAGUUGGCAAGCUGACUUCCUUAAUUGCGCAUUCAGUCUCUACUUAGGGUAAUUGAAACGAAGCGGGGCUCGGCUCUGACAAUUAGGGUCUGCGACUAGGCCAUUAACCCUUUCUGCAACAGCCCCCUCCCCGGAUCGAUGCCUCGCACCUUUCCAAGAUGUUUCAUCCGUGUAAGACAAAGGGAGAGCGCCUGCCGGUGCCGGGAGAAAAUCCGCAGGACUCCCUCAGGGGCAGCCACCCUCGGAAGUCAGCCGAGUGAAGCAGCUGUUCCUUGCACACUCCACUUGACCAAAGAUGAUGAUAAAUGAGGCCGGGACCGCGUCGGGGACGCGGCGGCAAAGGGCGCGCAAGGGCGGGGCGUACGGCCCGUAGGUCCCUCCCCAUACCUCCGGCCCGGCGAGAACGCAGAGGACAGAGGCCGAGUGGGCAAAAUCAAAGGCCUGCGCUUCCCUCCCGCGCCCUGCGCAGCCUCAGCACUCGGCGGCGAGGAAGAAGGCAGCAGAGAGGUGCGCCCCGACCGCUGGGCUCAUGAUUGAGCCCUUUUCCUCUGGGCCCCUGCUGCAGCUCCACCCUCGCCCCUGCCCUUCCCCCUCGCGCCCCACUCUCCCCUAAUGCCUUGGUCCCCACCGUGCUUCAAACCUAUUAACGCUCG